rnacentral:rRNA from 1 species
GUCCUUUUGAUUUUUAUUUAAGGUCUGACCUGCCCACUGAUUUAUUUAAUGGCCGCGGUAUUCUGACCGUGCAAAGGUAGCAUAAUAAUUUGUCUUUUAAUUGAAGGCUUGUAUGAAUGGUUGGACGAGAAAACUUCUUUCUUUAUGAUAAAUUUAUGAAUUUUAUUUUUUAGUUAAAAAGCUAAAAUGUAAUUGUAGGACGAGAAGACCCUAUAGAACUUUAUAAUUGUUAUUAUAUCAAUAUUUUUGGGUUAUAAAUAUAUUAUUUAAUAACAAUUAUUUUGUUGGGGCGACAAGAAAAUUUAUUUAACUUUUUUUAUUAAAUUUCAUUAAUUAAUGUAUAUAUGAUCCUUUAUUAAGGAUAAAUAGAAUAAGUUACCUUAGGGAUAACAGCGUAAUUUUUUUGGAGAGUUCUUAUCGAUAAAGAAGUUUGCGA